GAUGAAGAACGCAGCGAAAUGCGAUAAGUAAUGUGAAUUGCAGAAUUCAGUGAAUCAUCGAAUCUUUGAACGCACAUUGCGCCCGCCAGUAUUCUGGCGGGCAUGCCUGUUCGAGCGUCAUUACAACCCUCAGGCCCCCGGGCCUGGCGUUGGGGAUCGGCGGAAGCCCCCUGCGGGCACAACGCCGUCCCCCAAAUACAGUGGCGGUCCCGCCGCAGCUUCCAUUGCGUAGUAGCUAACACCUCGCAACUGGAGAGCGGCGCGGCCACGCCGUAAAACACCCAACUUCCGAAUGUUGACCUCGAAUCAGGUAGGAAUACCCGCUGAACUUAAGCAUAUCAAUAAGCGGAGGA
rnacentral:misc_RNA from 1 species